GACGAACGCUGGCGGCGUGCCUAACACAUGCAAGUCGAACGAGGUCCAUCCAGUGGCAACACCGGUGAAGACCUAGUGGCGAACGGGUGAGUAACACGUGAGGAACCUGCCCCGAAGACCGGGAUAACCCUCCGAAAGGAGAGCUAAUACCGGAUGUCCCCACCUGGCCGCCUGACCGGGUGAGGAAAUGGAUUCCGCUUCGGGAGGGCCUCGCGGCCAAUCAGCUUGUUGGUGGGGUAACGGCCCACCAAGGGAUGGACGGGUAGCUGGUUAGAGAGGACGGUCAGCCACACUGGGACUGAGACACGGCCCAGACUCCUACGGGAGGCAGCAGUGGUGAAUCUUGCGCAAUGGGCGAAAGCCUGACGCAGCAACGCCGCGUGAGGGAUGAAGGCUCUCGGGUUGUAAACCCCUUUCAGAGGGACGAACUAAGACGGUACCUGCAGAAGAAGCCCCGGCUAACUACGUGCCAGCAGCCGCAGUAAAAC
rnacentral:rRNA from 1 species